UGGAGGUCCUUCCUCUAGAGUUUUACAGUGAGCCCAGGACAAGGGUAAGCACUCUAUUUAACCUUUUGUUGGUAUAAUAACAUGCUUAGCCAAACUCUCUUGUUUAUUUCAUAAUUAUAACAUCUGUAUAUUCAUUGAUUAUGCAUUUAGUUUAUGCAUGGACUGAAAUACUGCCUUGUGCAUUGCUUGCUCACAAAAUUGAUGACUCUUCCCCACCAUGUGAUACCAUUUUGAAAUAAGUGAAGGAUGGUGUCUAUAUUCAGGAAGGAUGUGCAGGAAGGAUGACCGCAGAAUCAGGGAAUCUUUUAAGCUGGAAAAGAUCCAUGAGAUCACCAAG
rnacentral:lncRNA from 1 species